rnacentral:rRNA from 1 species
UACGGAGGGGGCUAGCGUUGUUCGGAAUUACUGGGCGUAAAGCGCGCGUAGGCGGACCUGCAAGUCGGGGGUGAAAGCCCGAGGCUCAACCUCGGAACUGCCUUCGAUACUGCGGGUCUCGAGUCCGGGAGAGGUGAGUGGAAUUCCUAGUGUAGAGGUGAAAUUCGUAGAUAUUAGGAAGAACACCAGUGGCGAAAGGCGGCUCACUGGCCCGGUACUGACGCUGAGGCGCGAAAGCGUGGGGAGCGAACAGG